CCGGAAUUUUCCUUCAGUGUAAUUCCGGGUUUUCCCUGUCUCACAGGCGUAAGCCUGGGCGAAUGCGAAACAGUGGUAUAGGGACCAAAGGUAAGGCAGGAAUUAAGGUAGCCAACCCGAUGCAUUAGGCAGGGAGCGCCGGCCUUACCGGUGUGGAGCUGGUCUAAUAUGGGACCUUCUCCAGGGAAAGCUACACUGAGAGACGGACCCAAUGCCCUCUCGGGGGAAGAGAGUGCUGGCUUAACAAGCAAGGUGUGUGUCUGAAAAUAUGGUCCUCACUGGAGAAGUCUCUCAGGGUGGAAAAAUAUAAGGUAUGGGAUAUAGUGAGGUAAAAAAGUAAUAGAAUUGGGCACUACUCCCGGCAGCUAUGCCAAAAGGCUACGCCGGUAAUAGAAAGAUAAAAAAAAAUAUUUUCGAUAGUUAUAAAAUUAUCUUGCGCGGUAGCUCGUCUCCAGGGCGCGGAGUUUUGAAUGUAAUAAUUUGUACGCAAGAUUUAAUAGUUAAGAGAAAUGAUUUAUUCAACUCGUCUGAUUAUAAAUGGUACAAGAUAUAGGAGACCUCGACUGAGUACAACUCGUGUCUGGGGCAGAAAUAUGACUAAGUCCGAAAACUAGGCGAACGCUCUGAGUCUAAGUCCAAUUACGGAAAAAUAGUUUAAGUCGCGGGUUGGGCAGAGAAAAGCCCUACCAGUAAGAACUCCGGAAUCCGAAAGAUGUUCCUUGCUCUCCAUUAGUAUUUAUAGGGAUGAGGAUAAUGUAUAGGCAUAAGGAAGGUUCUAGCCAAUCAGGAAUUUGGAAGGGUGUGUGUCUCAGCGGGUGUGUGCUCCCCUUUAUUAAUUAGCGCCCCUCAUUAUGCGGCCCCUAGCCUGGUCAUCUGCAAUAAUGGUUUUCUUUGACCUGGUUUAUUCAGGAUCGUCGCCCUUUCUUCUGCCGCCACACGUGUCAGUCGCUGGCUUGUAUUGUCGCGUUCUGUGUUGCCGACCGUCGUUGGUUCGCCGGCUUCUGUUAUGCCUACCGUGUAACAGCCCCGAUUACCGUGGUAAAGUAGCUUGUUGGUUCGACGUGAUAUUCGUGUUUGCUUCGACUGUAUUGUCUAUCUUUUUUACAAUGUGUGAUUCUUGGAUCGCAUUAUUCUUUCUCUUUUUUUUGUCCGAGGUCCGUUCAGCUUAUUAAUGGUGGUCCUACGUGCUCGGUCCCGUCGUCGCCGGGUCUCUCCCUCUCCGGUUUUUCUUCGUUGCGGUGGGCGUGCCUCCUUGUUUUCGCUUCUUGAGCGUAGCGUUUUCCUCUAAUUGGUUGCCUUUCUCGGGGUUCGCCUACCUGUGUCCUUUUAAACGGCCCCUGAUCGCUCGUUCCGUACUCAGUUUCUUGCCUUCUGUCCGCUUGAGACCCUUCUAAUCCGUUCUCGAGAUGUUCGCCACGGUUGUGCUCUGUGCUGGUGUUCUGGUGCGUUUUGCGAAAGCAGUUGCUCCGUUUUUGCUCCGGUCUUCGAUCCGGUGGUUCGUGUCCUCAGCCUACAUCGUCUUGCCUGGGUGCCGUCGAAGCCUCUGGACUGGGUAAGCUUUUCUUGCUCGAAUUAACUUGCGUGUGUGAUUCCGUUGCCUUAUAUUAAUUUUCUCGUUUUUGGUUCUUGCUUGUAGUCUGACCGUCCGACCCCAGCUAAGCCGCGGCCAUCUCCAGCUUCGGACUUCCAGGACUUCCCGGAGGACCAGUCCCCUCUGUUCUCUCUGCCGUGCCACACGCAGACUCCCUGUUUGUCUUUGAUUCUCAGUCCCCCGUCGUUCGGGAGUUCUUUCCUGACUCCUGGAUUGAGUGCCAUCACGAGUCCUGGGAGGAUCAUGAGGCCUGCAGGAUUUGCUCUAUCUGCCGUUGUCGCCGUGACCAUCAACCCCAUAUGAUGCGCCUUCGGGGUAAGGGUAACUGGAUCCGCAUCCCUGGCCGCAAGUGCUGUCCCGCGAUGAGUGACGACGGAAUCUUAGUUUAGAUUUUUUUGGGCGUAACUGCAUGGCGAGUGUGAUGCGUUCGUUCCUCGCCGUUUUCUCUGUGUAUUUUGUUUUAUUGGUAUUCUGCGCUGCAUAUUGUUCGUCCUUUUUUUUGUCAACUAUUAUGUAUGAGUCAGUGUGUUUGAGUGUCUUUUUUUUUGCUUUUACUUGUUCGCGUUCUAUGUACUCAUAUGUGUGUUUUAUAACCUAAAUAAACUGUACAUUGAAAAGAAUUUCCUGCUUGUCUAAUCUUAUUUUCGUCCGCCCGAAUCCUUUUUUCCUUUAUUUGUCCUAGUUGUUAUUCACUAUAAUUUUGAUCUCAAUUUAGCGGUAUUCUAUGUCAAUUUUAAUUUUACUUAAUAGCGUAUCAGUUGUUUUGCUAUUUAUUUUAUUUCCCUUUUACAUCAUGCAUAAUCCGUAAAAAUUUGGUAUACCUUUUCUAAAUACUUUUUUACCUAGAUUUUGUGCUUU